CAGUGACUGGCUGAGCAGCCAUCUUCUGGCAUUCCCUUCCAGGCCCAGGCUGUGGACAGCAGGUAUCGGGGGCAGAAUCAGGAGAUUGAUGAGGUAAUGCUGAAGACAUAGAUGUCUAAGUCCAUGUCUACCUUCAUGAGGCCAUUUCAUUCUGCUCAUACGCAGGAUGUAAUUCAGUUAUACCAGGAUCAAGGGGCCAAACAUUGGUGUGCAAAGUGAAAAGGGCCAUGUUAAUCUACCGAAAUAUGAUUUGGAUAUGAGAUAGUGAGAUCCAUAAAUUACACGUAAAGACCCUGCAGUCGGGGGUGGAUGAGGG